ensembl:lncRNA
GGAUAUGUUCUUACUACUGAACUUGACAACUCACUUUUCGGAAGAUUGAGGAGCGACCAUCAGGUGUACAGGAUUGUGGGAAAAGAGGAGACAGAGAGGAGAUUGCAGUGCUAUGUUCAUGGUGCUACUCUACAGUUGGCUUCCAACUUCCGACUAUUAGGAUUAAACAACUGCAGCUAUCUCUUGAAGAACUCACUCAGGAUUUAUACCACUAAAGACCGGCGCGGCGUUUUCCGCACACUUUUGGAUUUAAAAAACUCUUGGAGACAUUUGGGGAUUACAAAAUGUGCCGAUCUUGCUUUUUUAACGUCUUUGAACCUGAAACGUCUGAUCUAAAGUCCCGCGGAUCGCAGGGUGCAUGGCAAUGGAUCCUCCUCAGCCUACGAGAUGG